rnacentral:rRNA from 1 species
AGCAUGGUCUUAGCUUGCUAAGGCUGAUGGCGACCGGCGCACGGGUGAGUAACACGUAUCCAACCUGCCGUCUACUCUUGGCCAGCCUUCUGAAAGGAAGAUUAAUCCAGGAUGGGAUCAUGAGUUCACAUGUCCGCAUGAUUAAAGGUAUUUUCCGGUAGACGAUGGGGAUGCGUUCCAUUAGAUAGUAGGCGGGGUAACGGCCCACCUAGUCAACGAUGGAUAGGGGUUCUGAGAGGAAGGUCCCCCACAUUGGAACUGAGACACGGUCCAAACUCCUACGGGAGGCAGCAGUGAGGAAUAUUGGUCAAUGGGCGAUGGCCUGAACCAGCCAAGUAGCGUGAAGGAUGACUGCCCUAUGGGUUGUAAACUUCUUUUAUAAAGGAAUAAAGUCGGGUAUGCAUACCCGUUUGCAUGUACUUUAUGAAUAAGGAUCGGCUAACUCCGUGCCAGCAGCCGCGGUAAUACGGAGGAUCCGAGCGUUAUCCGGAUUUAUUGGGUUUAAAGGGGGCGUAGAUGGAUGUUUAAGUCAGUUGUGAAAGUUUGCGGCUCAACCGUAAAAUUGCAGUUGAUACUGGAUGUCUUGAGUGCAGUUGAGGCAGGCGGAAUUCGUGGUGUAGCGGUGAAAUGCUUAGAUAUCACGAAGAACUCCGAUUGCGAAGGCAGCCUGCUAAGCUGCAACUGACAUUGAGGCUCGAAAGUGUGGGUAUCAAACAGG